rnacentral:rRNA from 1 species
CAUGCAAGUCGAGCGGGCGCUUUCGGGCGUCAGCGGCGGACGGGUUAGUAACGCGUGGGAACGUGCCCUUUGCUCUGGAAUAGCCCUGGGAAACUGGGGGUAAUACCGGAUGUGCCCUGAGGGGGAAAGAUUUAUCGGCAAGGGAUCGGCCCGCGUCUGAUUAGGUAGUUGGUGAGGUAACGGCUCACCAAGCCGACGAUCGGUAGCUGGUUUGAGAGGAUGAUCAGCAACACUGGGACUGAGACACGGCCCAGACUCCUACGGGAGGCAGCAGUGGGGAAUCUUAGACAAUGGGCGCAAGCCUGAUCUAGCCAUGCCGCGUGGGUGAUGAAGGCCUGCGGGUUGUAAAGCCCUUUCGGUGGGGAAGAAAAGUCUCGGCCUAAUACGCUGGGACCUUGACGUAACCCACUAAAGAAGCACCGGCUAACUCUGUGCCAGCAGCCGCGGUAAUACAGAGGGUGCGAGCGUUAAUCGGAAUUACUGGGCGUAAAGCGCGCGUAGGCGGCUUUGUAAGUCGGUUGUGAAAUCCCCGGGCUUAACCUGGGAACUGCAUCCGAGACUGCAUAGCUAGAGUAUGGGAGAGGGAAGUGGAAUUUCAGGUGUAGCGGUGAAAUGCGUAGAUAUCUGAAGGAACAUCAGUGGCGAAAGCGACUUCCUGGACCAAUACUGACGCUCA